UUUUAGUUUAUUUAUUU
rnacentral:sRNA from 1 species